GACGAACGCUGGCGGCGUGCUUAACACAUGCAAGUCGAACGGUGAAGCGCCUUCCUUUUUGGUGGGUGUGGAUGAGUGGCGAACGGGUGCGUAACACGUGAGUAACCUGCCCUCUGCUUCUGGAUAACCGCAUGAAAGUGUGGCUAAUACGGGAUAUUCUGCGUCUGUCGCAUGAUGGGUCUGGGACAGCUAUUGUGUCGGUGGGGGAUGGGCUCGCGGCCUAUCAGCUGGUUGGUGGGGUGAUGGCCUACCAAGGCGGUUACGGGUGGCCGGCCUGGGAGGGUGGACGGCCUCACUGGGUCUGAGACCCGGCUCGGACUCCGACGGGGGGCAGCAGGGUGCAAUAGUGCACAAUGGGCGAAAGUCUGAUGCAGCGGCGCCGCGGGAGGGAUGGAGGCGUUCGGGUUGUGAACCUCUUUCGCCAGUGAAGCAGUCCUGCCUGGUAUGUGGGUAGGUUGACAGUAGCUGGUUAAGAAGCGCCGGCUAACUACGUG
rnacentral:rRNA from 1 species